rnacentral:lncRNA from 1 species
UGGCCUGUUUUAGGUGCCUCACCCUGUAUAUAAAAUAAAAUUUCUAUCGAAAUAGAAUCCUAAUAAAAGAGCAAUUUGUUUAUAUUCAUUAUUAUCUAUUAUCGAUAUAACCGUAUAUUAUCAUAUCAUCAUAUUAUCUAUAACGAUAAUCUAUGAUAAAUGAACUCUUUAAUUCAUUGUUGCAAUUCAUGAUGCGCGCGUCAUACAUUUAAUAAACGCCUGAUAUGCAUCGAGCAUCACUUAAUCGCUUUGUCUUGCGUCAUCAUCUCUGUCGGUCGAUCUCCUAACAGAUGAUGGAAUUUUCGAAACACGUAUUGAUCCGACCUGAUCGUAAUGCGACGCAGCAGAGGAACGAAAUUUCGGUAGUCGUAUGCCACGCGUGAUUUCACCGAAUUCGACGAGAAUUUCUAGGUGCAAUCGAUAUCGUGUCCACCCUGGAGGAAAAAAUCUCCCCCGCGAAGAUUCUUUCUCGCGGAGAUUCCUUGAAGGGUCUCGUGCCAACAGGAUUAAGCGAAUAUUGUGUGAGUAUAGAUUGCGAGUAUCUUUUCUAGGGGAGAAACAAUCACGGAGAAAUUAUUCUGCCGGCUACUUUUAUAGCCUCGUGAAUAUUUUGCCGCGGGGAACCCGUGGUUAUCAAUGAUAUCGCGAAUGAUCCGACUCAAAGUUCACUGGCCGUUACUUGAUUUCUUUUUUAUAUCGAUUGUAUCUUAAAAUUGUAGCGUAAAAUACUUUAGAAAUGGAGAGAGAAAGGAGAAAUACAAAUUUUUAAUAAUAAAUUUUUAAAUAAAGUUAGAAUUGUUUUUUCCCGUUUUCCGCAAGAAUAUGUUUGUCAAUUACUUGAAAACGAAGUUUUGGUAACUUGUAAAACUAAAUUUCCGAGUUAAUUUUAUUAAAUAUUUAUAACAUAAAAUCAAUUUUACGUUGUAAAUAACAGUUUCGCGUUACAUAUUCGUGUUUUAAAAAUUUCAUUUAGCAGAGCACUUUGGCUUUUAUACCGUUCGCAGCAUAUAAAUUAAUCCAACAUAUUUGUUAAAAGGAAAAUUUCAUACUACAAAUUCACCGAAAAAUCUCUGCGGAUAAAGUAUAUGAAAACUUGAAUAUACACUUUGUGUAUAUCGCUACGCAUGUUUGCUUAUCGGAAGCGCUUCACAGGUGUAAUCUUCCUAAUGGACACUAAAUUGAGAGUGCUCUUCACCGAAUGCUUAUUUGAAUUUCGUUAAUGAAAUUUUUACGUGUUAUACACUUAGGGUUGCCAAGUUUGCUCUGAUCGACAGAGAAAGGCUGUAAAGGCUAUUCUCAAAAUCAUACAUGAAUAUUACGAGAACAUCAAACUAUUUCUGGAACGUUAAAUUUUGCCUUUAAUUUGUUGAAGAAUCUCUUCAUUUUUACGUUUCUUAAUUUCAAUUACAUAAAUAUCUUGGAUUAAUUAAUUUUUUAUCAGAAAAUAUUGAGAUUUUUCACACAAUAUGUUAAAACAGGUUUAACAAUAUUUUUACAUUAUUUCACAAUAUUUUACGGAAUUUUAACACAACUAAUUCUUAUUACACAUGGAAAGCAAAAAGCAUUGUGUUUCAUCGCAGAUGGCAUGCCAGAAACAAUAACGAGAAGAAGAUACUUCUCGAUAUCAUCUCUAUUUUCUAUUUCUAUUAUCUAUCUCUACUGUAUUUUUCGUAAAACCUAACAAAAAGCUAGCACUAGAGAGCUCGGCAAAACGACAAACCAAAAACGAGUCGCUUAGUUUUUUCUGACAUUUUAUACAGCAUCCGCGCUGAAGCUAGAUUUCAGGCUGCUAUAGUAGUUUUAAUAUAACUGGUCGAAUCUCGGGCAGCGUGUGUCGAUGAAAAGAUUGCGAGGAAAAGCGAGGAUGUUGUACUUGUGGUGGUGGUCGACUGAUUGAAGCGUGCAUUGCACCGUAUUGUUCAUCCGUUAUAACCCGCAAGGUCUCUUUUCCCCGUUCCGUCAUUCCAUACCCAGAUCAUUGAUGAAUGGAAACGUGCUUCCGAUUGAAGCUCAACCUGGAACUAGAGCUUGAUCGAAAUAGAAAAAUGCGAAUUAUCUCGCGGCCGGCGAUGAGCACUCGUUCCAUUUGUCGAGCCACUUCCAGCCGAGAAGAUCUCGCGAAAAAAAAAUCGGACCUACUUUCCUCGUCUGGAGGUUAAUGAAAUCGACCCACAGACGAAACGGGCAAUUCCCGUACGUAUCCGCCUCGCGCGUAAUGAAUUGCCGAGCGGCACUCGGUGCGCGGCUACGCGAAAUCUCGGUAAAAGACGCCGCUCAUUGUUUCUCCCGGGCUGCAGCUCGUUCUCUCGGCCGUUCCCUGUCUCUCUAGCACAGUAGAAUCGUCCGGUGCCUCUAAUGGAGUUCCCGGCACAAUAGCGGCAUUGUACAGACUCCCUACAGCCUGUCCGAUCUCUCUUCGUCGCUCUUGGUCGCCCGGCUUACUCGCUCGCUGGCAAACGCUUCGACCGUGUCGUAGGAGAGAAGAGAGCCUACGCUCGUCUCGGGCCUACCGCUCUUCUCUCCUGGUAGCCGUCGUCGGCGUAAAUACAAUAUCGGCCGAUAGCUUCGCUGGGUAUUCAAUCGCGCGACAGAGAGCCACCGCCAUCGGCGUGUAAUAUCGAUCGCCAGCGAGGAAAUUGCGGAUUUUCCGCGGCGACCGCGUCGCGUCGCUCGCCAAUAAUGCGAAAAUUUAGCUGCUUCUAGUCGGAUUAGCUACAUUUCUUUUUUCGUUAAUAAUUAAGUCAAGAGAAAUAUAGUUAUUCGGUCGUUGGACAAAGUGCUCGAUCUGUCGGUUUUUGUUUGUUAACGUGAGAAUGCGUCCUCUUAUAGGACUCUAUAGGAUUGGCAAUAUCUUUUUGCCUACAGUAGUUAACAAAAAUCAGUAGAAACGUAUUAAAUCUGUUACCAAACGGAAUGCCUGAUCUACACUACCGAUUUUGCAUUCGUUAACAACGGGAGAAUGUUGCUAGUCCAACCACACGAGGAAGAAUUUCACAUUACUGCUCGGCAAGAGUAGUAUGGAUCAAUCAUUAAUUCGACAGUCAUGCAAUUGCGUGGUACCAAAACUCGCUUUCUGGCUAGUAUCGUUCUUUUACUAUUAGUAAAUGCGCGUACACUAAACACGUCAUGUGCACGUUGAAUGAAUUAUUUUGUUUAUUGCACGAUGUGGGAUCGUGUUAAGUGACUACACACAUGACUUCUGCUCGAAUACGUAUCGAUAAAUAGCAUACAAUCUAGAUUUGCGGUUUCAGAUGAGUCUCUCUCCUUACGCUCGAUUUAAUUUUUUUUUUUUGCUACGCUGAUGCCGAUGAUAUCGGUUUAUAUAAUUUUUUAUCAUCUUUAUCGUUGCAUAAAGCUGGACCAACGUCAAGCCAAUCGUGCGGCACGUUAAAUGCAUAUCUGCCGAGUGGAAGUGUAACGAUUCAACGAGCGGGUGUGAUCCGGGAUACAUAUGAAUGAUUAAUGACGAUGUUAUCAAAAUAUUGCUGUCACGUUAUACUUAACAUGAAUAUUUGAUGAGAAUAAUACAUGAAUAUUGCAUUGCUGGAUAAUAUGUAUUGAUUCGAAUAAUUCCCUUUUACAAGCAUGCGAUUUAAUAAAAUAUCUUUUUUCAUCUUUAUUUCGGCAAUACAAUUAAAAAUUCAAGUAGAAAUAAAGGACAGCAAUCAAUGUGAAGGUUGAUCAUUUUAUAUCAUUUCAUUGCAUUCGCUCAAAUUCAAAUUUCAAACGAGGCACCGUCGGUGUAGUUUAAACGUCGAAAUCGCAGCAUUCAAUAAUCUCGAUGAGAAAAUGCGCAAUACCGGGAAAUUACGGUAGAGAGGGAGAGAGAGAGAGAGACAGAGAGCCGCAAACAAAUUGAAGGCAAUUUCGAGCGAUUGUAACGUAUUAUCCGCGUUUUGCAACGUAUUGUCCGAAAUUUGCGCGUUAAUACAGAAUUGUUCCGAGCCAUUUGCCGUUGAAGUGCACUUGCCUCUUGCGACCCGCGCGCGUGAUGUUUCAAUAUUGCGGUGAAAUUCGCGAAAACUGGAACACACUCCAGCAAAGUUGGCCGCGGAUUCGCGGGCGUAACGCAACUCUUGCCGCGCGCAAGCAAGCAAGCGGUUGCACCAGGCAACGUCAAUACGCGAGCAAGUAACCGCGUUUCCAGAUGACUCCGAACGUUACGAUUAUUAAGUACCCGCCAACUCCCUUUGAUUCAUGUGUUCGUUUAUUAGGAGGUCCACGAAGUCUAUGAAGUUCCAUGGCACGCGCUGCUCCAAAACUUCGAGCAUUCGCAAACCAACCAAACGCGCGCACGAGCAAGUACAAGUGCGCCAUGAGUUUACUCGGCUAAGAUUUUAUCUUGGUCCGAAUUGGAAAUCCUUAAGAGGAAGUUCGCGAUGUUUUGCGGCGGGAGAAGUUCGUCCUCGCGACGUGGCCUUUGAUAAACUCGCGGUGCAACAUAAUCCUCUCUCUUCCUCUCUUUCACCUUUCCUCUUUCUUUUCUCUCUCUCUCUGUCUUUCUGUUUCUCUUUCUCGCCUUUUUUCUUUCUCUUGAUUUCCGUCUGUUUUCCUCCGACGACGACGUUAGCGCGCAGUUUUCUGUUGCGAGAACGGAUAUUUGAACGCAGCGCGACGCGAAGCAUGCAACGCGAGCGAAUAAUGCAAAAUUGCGCGGAGGAGCUCAUGUGUGCUUUAUUGCAGCCCGCUGUGCGAUCACGCGUUAUCUCGCGAUGCGUGCACUCAUGACACGCACCGGCGACUUAUGAGCGCGUACGCAUUCGGCAAACCGAGAUACACGAGUGUAACGCGCGUACGGACGGCCGGGCGCGAUCCGCUUUACAAACGUGCCUGAUAUUUAAAUUCAUCGAAUCCUCCUCUCUUUGUAGCGAGAUCCCUGCAUAUGUACGGGUGGUAACUGAUUCUGGUGACUUGCACGCGGAAUGCGAUCAAGUGGAUGCAAAGGUGUUCAUGUCCACAACAAGAUCCAUCAUCUUGCGAACAACCACGUGUAAAUACAUCAAAGUAGAUACAGGGCCGAUUUAAUCAAUCUUCCAUACAAAAAGGUUCAGGCAGAAUUGAAGCAUUGCACGUGGAAACUCUGUCGGACCGAGAACUAUUUGAACCGCUGCGAAAAUUUAUUAACAUAUAACGGAAAGAGCGCGCAGUCGAUAUCGGAUAUUGGGAUAUCCCUAACCCUCUACAUGCUCCCUGUAAUUGAAAUAUUUGAGUAAGCGGCGGGCAUAUAUCGCGGCGAGUUUAGAAGUUCUGUGGGAGUCGGUCAGCCAUUAUUUCUCAGUUAUUAUUUUCCCAUUCCACUACUGUGGUUUAGUCGUUGUCGCUACACUCAUCCCUUCGACGUACGUGACUCGGUAUAUGUACAUCUCAAAUUAGAGAAACGAACCGGUUUGUAACACGUUAUUGUUUCCUUAAUCGUAAAUUAGAAACGAAUUUUUUCCCUUCAAAGUGAUAUUUUUAAUUAAGCGGAUAUCAAAUUAAUAAUAUAUCAAAUAGAUUUAAUUUAAUUAAUUGCGGUAGCUCUCGAUGUAAAAUAGCAUAGUUUUUAAUGACCAGAAUAUGAAGUUGGUUAUUAAAAACUAUGCUAUUCAAAAUAUCGCAUUUUGAAUAAUUAUUUAAAUAACCAACGUAUGAUUAUUAUUACAUUUGCUGAUAGUGACCGAAUGGAGAUAUUGCGCCACUUCGCGUAAUUUCCUUCGAAUAUAGUAACAAGAUCUUGUUAGCAAGAACCCAUAUCCUCCAUUGUUCUCUCGAGUAAUAUCUAGAGUGUGGCUUAGAUAAUUAAAUGGAUAACAGUUAGCAUAAUUAAUAUUAUAUUAAUACGAUUAGACGCGAGUUAUCUCGGUACUUCAACAUUCAAUUUUAAACAUCUUUGUUUCUGACUCGAAAUUGGAAGUUUGUUACAAUCUACGUGGGCUAAAAUAAAAAACAAGACCAUUGUCUUGUUUUUAGUUUUCUUUUCUUCCUGAAGUUUAAUUCAAUUUAAAGCACGGAGACUAUUGCUUUGACGUUCUUUUCUAUUUUUCUUAAGAAAGAUCAACUUCAUCUUGUGUGGAUCAAAGCGCGUGUACACAGAACAAACAGUAGAAAACUUGGAAUAGCCUGGUGUUCGUCUUGCAUGUGACAUCGACGUUCUGCUGAUCAUUUACAAAGAAUCGAACCUUGGAUUUGUCUUACUCUUAUGUCAGUUCUUAGAGAGAAAGAAAAAGAGGAACGGAGGGAUAAAUACAAUAGAGUCUCUCAACCACACAAGAUCCUCUCCAGCUGAAGAACAGAGUUUCUCGAGGUUUGCGACGGCCAGUGAAACAGUUCUCGCAUCGACAGAGCCGUCAAACUCUACGAGGCCAAACGAUGGGGGAUUUACCGACUUUCCCUCCUCCUUCAUUUCCUCCUUCUACCCUCUAAUGUCACCUGGGUAUCGACUAUUACACCGGCCGAGACCAAAUCACCUUCGCACGCAUCCAUCAGUGUUUCUCUCGCGAAAAGCUGACGAUGUCACGGAUAAAUGGAGUUUUCGCAUAGCUCAUUAGGUCAUUUUGCGCGGAAGGGCAAUCCUUCGUUGCAAAUGCCAUAGUAAUCCCGUUGAAAUUUCCCGCGAAAUUGAGGAACGAAGUCUCGCUUCCCUUCAUUUCGAUCUCGUUUCCGAUAUUAUUCACGACGAACAUGAUAAUCGCAAAAAUGUUAGUUGUUGCAUCUUAUAUGCAUCUUCUUUUCUCCGUGAGAUACAUUUAUUCGCAUUUUGUUGCGCGAUAUUGGGACAAACGACGUCAUAAUGGUAUUCUAUGAAAUUGUCGAGGUCAUUUUCAUCUCGAAAACGAAGCUCCGCAAUUUUGCACCGCAAUUUCGACCUACUUCUUGUGCGGAAAUUACUGCCUUCUCAGAUGCACUUAACAAGAACUUCGUAAGACUACGCAUAUUGUUACAACAAUAGCGUUUGUCGGCUUAAGUCAAUAUUUGAAGGACCAAAUUGAUCAAAUAGUCGUGCUGAAGAGAUCUUAAUGCCAUUAUACGUUCUCGAUGUAAGAGAGAGCGUAGCUCAAACGUAAUGAAAUCUCUAUAUGGUAACGAAUUAAUUGCAUGGCAGGCCAUUACGGAAAAUUAUUAUCGCGACGAGGGAAACGAUGGACGGGCGCAAAUGCAUCGAUGGCCACGAGGCUCCCGGGAGAUCGCGUCGUUGAUUUGUGUCUGAUUCGCUCGCAGUUGAAUAGCAUUACGAUUCAGGAGAUCGAUAUUCAAGGCGUAUGUUCCGAGAUGUCUGACAUGAUGUCUGUCAAGACGCUUCCUGAUCGAACGUCAAGAGUGACACAGAAAGGUAGAUGUUCAGAGAUGGGAUGUGUCGUUUUAUUGUAUUCCUAGAACGACGGAGAAUUGCGCGAGCAGCAGCUCAUUAAAGCAAAAAUUCAUUAGUUCAUUGACGUGCACGAUCCAUACGUAUUCAUUGAUUCUAACACGGAAAAAAAUGGUUUAGUUGAUUCAGCUAAUCUAUAGCUUGCUGAAAAAAAUUAGGCAUUUUAAAUAAGCAAAUUUGCUAAUGCAGCAAAAAAGUGGUGUGUGAAAGCAUUUAUCACUUGUUCAUAGAGCAAAUCCAUUUAUGUUGCAAUUAUCUUAGUUACUGCAACAAAUCAUUUUCGCUAGAUGAUGUACGUAGGUAACGCCAGUUGUUAUCAUACCUCACUUCCGCACUAACAAUCAAAUAAUUGAUAUAUUCAUGGAAAAGAAUAGUUGAGUGAGUAUAAUCCAGUGUAAUAUUCUAUCUGAACAUAGAUCAUACAACGUAAGAUUUUACAGCAGUACAUAUUGUUUCACGUAUGUAUUCACUGUGUUUGCAGCUACGAUCUUGUUAUAUAGAUCAAUCAGCGCUA